rnacentral:lncRNA from 1 species
CCAGCCAGAGGAACAUCGACAUGCAAACACUGAGCCAAGCUGAACACUGAGCUACAUCCUGAGUUACAACACCGAGUCAAGCCAUGGAGCCAAGCUGCAAGCAUGCCAAGCUGAGCUGCAACAAUGAACAUCGAGUUGCAAGAGGAAACACCACACUGAGAAUGCUGAGCUAAGCUGCAGUGACAAACAUCAAAUGCCAAGUGAAGCUGCAAUGCCAAGCCAUGUGCUUCCAUCACUGCCUUGGUCAGUCUUGUGCCAUGACCCAGGCUUGAGCUGUAACACUAAAGGUGCUUCCACUGGUGCCUCAGCUAGUGGCAACAUUUGGUGCCAAAACCUGGGAAUCUAUGCAACUAAGACUGCACAACCAAUCCUGCAACUGAGAACACUGCAGGACCUCCGGUCAGAGCUAAGCAGCAAGUACAACAAGCAGAGCUGCAACAAAGAACAUUGAGCUGCAAGAAGAGACACCAAGCUGAGAAUGCCAAAUCAAGUUGCAAUGCCAAGUCAUGCACUUCCACCACUGCCUCAGCCAGGCUUGUCCCAUGGCCCAGGUUGAGCUGUAGCACUGAAGGCACUUCCACUGGUGCCUCAAGCCAGGCUGGUGCCUCAGACAGGCUGUGCCUCAGCUAGGCUUGUGCAGUCACACCAGGCAGCAUUUCCAUCAUCACCCUGACCAGGUUCAAGUUCAAUACUGAGCUGUGAUUAAAAAAAGUUUGAUUUAUUAUACUGAACUCACAUUUCUUCAUUCUGAAGUUCAUCUGAACCAGAGAAUAAAGGUGGUGAUAAUAGUUUGCCUUUUCAUUGUUAAAUCAUAUGAUCCUUUAUGUAUCAUGGAUAUUAAACACUUCUGGA